rnacentral:ribozyme from 14 species
UUUUAUUUUUUAUUUUUUAUUUUUUUAAAUGACUUUUUGUUCAGGUUGUGUGUGUGUGUAUUAAAAUCGCUUGUAUUCUGUCUCUUUGUAUUCAUAUGUGUAUUGACUCAUCAAAACACUGCUUUUGAUGAGCCAAUACACGUAUGAAUAAAAAGAGGAAAACAAAAAUUAUGACAGCUGGCACACCAUUGAAGCUAAAAUAUCUGUAAAUAUAUACUCUUUUUGAAACUAAAAACUAAAUUCUAGGAACAUAAUAAGAAUGAAC